UAGGGAAGCGUCCGCAAGGGGCGAAAGCCUGACGGAGAAACGAAGCGUGAGUGAGGAAGGGCGUCGGAGCGUAAAACUAGGUGAUUAGGGAAGAACAAAGGCGGAAGGAAAAAGGGAAGGCGGGACGGGACGUAAGCAGAAAGACACGGCGAAGGACGGGCGAGACGACGCGGUAAUACGUAGGUGGCAAGGGUUAUCAGGAAUUAUUGGGCGUAAAGCGCGCGUAGGCGGUUUUUUAAGUCUGAUGUGAAAGCCCACGGCUCAACCGUGGAGGGUCAUUGGAAACUGGAAAACUUGAGUGCAGAAGAGGAAAGUGGAAUUCCAUGUGUAGCGGUGAAAUGCGCAGAGAUAUGGAGGAACACCAGUGGCGAAGGCGACUUUCUGGUCUGUAACUGACGCUGAUGUGCGAAAGCGUGGGGAUCAAACAGG
rnacentral:rRNA from 1 species